rnacentral:lncRNA from 1 species
CUUUCAGAAGAGGCGGAGCCUAUCUCUCAUCAGGACCAGUCUGACUGCACCUGCAUCCUUAGCUCAGAGCAUCCCUGGAGCAUCUAAGAGGAAAGCGCAGCUAGCAACCAGGGAUCGUACUGCAGGGGCAAUCGGUCAUGCACCUUCCCCUCCCCUGAUCUGGAGGUCUACAGCCGCGGCCUCGGUACUGACCGAGAUUCCCAAAGUUGUCUGACCUCUGCAAAAGUGUUUCUAUCAACAGCCUCUGAUUACAACAUGGCUGAGAUCACAAAUAUACGCCCCAGCUUUGGGGUGUGCUGGAGAGCUUCGCGUACCUACAAGGAAUACUUGCACUGGUCAGCAUCCUUCUGUGGGCCUGCAAUCCUAACCGACAAGGGCACAGAAGGCAGCUGUGCUCACACGGCUCUGAGAGCUCCCUUCACAGGCACUCCUCUGACCCAAGGAGUAACAACACACAGAACAAGCAGCAAGGCACAACUCCUUUCCUCGGAGGGGCAACUGGACAGCCUUUAACCCUUUAAAAACCAGGGACUGAUUUUCACGGGUUCUGACUUCAGCACUGCAUCAUCCAGAUAAAAAAACAUUACACUUUGGUUAUUCGCUCUGGAUGCCAGUGAGAUGUCUCAAUAGACAAACCUGCCCCUGAGCCUGCUGAUGGCCUGAACUUACUUCCUGGGACCCACAUGGUAGAGGGAGAAACAACAGCCAAAGCUGUCCGGUGUACUAUGGCCACGAACAUGAAGUUCUCUCAAGGUCGUAGCAAACAGACGGUCCUAUGGCCCACGGUUCCAACAGGAAGUAGGACAGCCACCUCUGACUUUACCACACUGCUCACUUCUGGCUUCAGUGCUAAGCCAAGAAAUAAUGCAAAUACAGACAAAGAGAGAAGCCUUGCCUGCUGCAUCUGCUGCUGAAGCCUGCUCCUCUGUGCUGGGUCGAGGACCAGAGUCUGAUGGGCUGCCUCCUCCUGCGGUUUCAGCUUCUCCACCUCAGGCUGCUGUCUGACUGAGGGUUUCUUCAUCUUCAGCUGCUCCAGCAGCUCCUUCACUGUCCGGUGCCGCUCAUUUAGUAAGUUGGCCAACGGCUCCUCAAACCUGUUCCCAACAAGGAUAGAACAUGCAUUUUCUCCUAGGUCCACAAAACAGCAAAUUCCUUGUAACAACAAAACAUGAACAUCUGUUUUACUUUGAUCAUGAUGGCUCACUAUUCUUGACCCUUAAGCAAAUAUUUCCCUUGACUGUUAGCACUGUAUUCAAAUAAAAGAAGUCUGGUGUUAGAGGAUAGUUUGAGCUCAUAUCUAGAAUGCUUGAAGCCCUGGGUCAAUCUCCAACUAUUCCAAAGAAUAUUCUGAAAUGUUUUCCACCUUACUGUAACACAAUUACUUCUCUGUAUAAAACACACAGAGAAAAGAAAUGAAAUGAAAAUCUAGAAGCAGAGAAACAACAGUGUAGUACAAUGCCACAGGCUAGUGGGACUUCAUCAUCCUUGCAUUGUACUAACACAUACUACUUUAUGAGUUCUUCCAAAUUGAAGGGACUCUAGCUAGCUCCAGUGUGACAAGCAUGGCUCCGGCAGGCCUUGCCCCUCUCUCCCAUUCCUUCCAGCUUGCUAACAACCAUUAGAGCUAGCCAGCAAGGUUGAUUCCUUUACUUGGCUACUUCCUCCUCUUGAGGCUGACAAAGUAUUUAAGUCCAGCAAUCAAAAAGUUCCCUUUAGGUCACCUAAUUAAGAUGCCCACUUAAAAUUAAAACACCUCAUCCUAACACAGGCUUUUCCCUUGUACCUUUAUAAACCACAACUUGCCUAUGGACCCUGUCUGUCUCCUCUCAAUUCAGAGGCAGUCCUUUGUCUUCUGGGAGAAAGACUCCUCCCACUUUUCCCCUGUACCCUUCCCCUUCUCAGCUAUCCUCUAUCUCCUGUCUUUGACCUUUAUCCCUGCUCUCUGUCUCUCUGGGGCAAAUAAAUCUCCUUUGUGCUGAGAA